GCUUCCACCAUCUUUCAAUGUGAAACCCCUGGGUCACUGUCACCACCACCAGAUGGACUUUGGACUUCCCAGCCUCAGAAACUCUCCCACUCUGCCUGGUGCUCAAGGGACAGAUGGCUCUGAGCACCUCCCCCGACUGCUCCUCAUGCCCAUGGUGGUCAAAGGGGGCACCGCUCCACGACUUGUGGCUUUCCCACCUGCCCAGUGCUUCAGAUUGAAGUGAGCAGUGACUACUUCCUGAUCCCCUGGCUGCAGCUCCCCAGACCUUUUCCCCACCCCACUCUCCAGCUCCUCCCGCAUUCGUGUAAGCCCUGAUUUCCACAGUAAGCCCCUUAUUUCUGGAAUAUAUGUAGUGGCUCUGUUUUCCUGACCAAACUCAUGGAUAAGUUGUUGUCUUUUUAAAUAACAGAAGCAGAGGUCUGGAGAACAAAACCUUAAAGAUGAGAGUCAGAAAGUUGUUGACUGCCUGGUUCUAUGCAAAGGUAUUUACUACCUCCUUGCCACUAACAAAUGGAGCGCUGGUGCGUUUUCAUGCACACAGUCCAAACAGUGACCUAAAUUAUUACUGUGAGUCACAUAGAGUCAAGUGCUCACAGAAGCAAGGCCUGGGUGACAGUGGCCGCUGCGAUAAAAUGUGAUGGUAAAAAUAAAGGGUUUACACGCCAUGAA